AUAGCGUAUAUUAAAGUUGUUGUGGUUAAAAAGCUCGUAGUUGAACCUUGGGCCUGGCUGGCCGGUCCGCCUCACCGCGUGUACUGGUCCGGCCGGGUCUUUCCCUCUGUGGAACCCCAUGCCCUUCACUGGGUGUGGCGGGGAAACAGGACUUUUACUUUGAAAAAAUUAGAGUGCUCCAGGCAGGCCUAUGCUCGAAUACAUUAGCAUGGAAUAAUGAAAUAGGACGUGCGGUUCUAUUUUGUUGGUUUCUAGGACCAUCGUAAUGAUUAAUAGGGAUAGUCGGGGGCAUCAGUAUUCAAUCGUCAGAGGUGAAAUUCUUGGAUCGAUUGAAGACUAACUACUG
rnacentral:rRNA from 1 species